AGUCUAAUAAUAUCAAUGGGUUGGUUAAGUGGAUGGGCACCACUGGAAAGUAAACGUUGGACCCUUCACCAUUUUAUAUAAGUUUUAUAUAGGAAAAAUUCAUACAUAUGUAUGUAGCAGAUUGCAUUUUCGAAAUAUUACGAGAAUGGUUACUUAGAGAUCUGAAAUGCAUCAUAAUAAAUUGAAGGGAGUCGACCAACGAAAGAGGCAUGUGAAGAACAUAAUCCAGUAAAAGAACAUUUAAGGAAGUAUUGGGAGCGCAGGGCUAAUUUAACAUUCGAGGACGAAUGUUCUAAAGGGGGGAAGGAUGUUACAUCCCGUAUUUUCAUGUGUUGGAAAGGGUGCGAGUUAAAUGAUAUUAGUAACGAAAAUGAGGUUAUCCUCCCAAGUUUGUGGGUGGUUGUAGUAAUGAUACAGAUGUGUUAUAAAUAUUUGAAGUUAAACAAAUCUAAGAAAAUAAGUUUUGUCGAGGUUCGAAAUUUAUUUGAUGAAAUACGGUCCAAGCUAUAAUAUCCCGUAUUUUUGGACUAGAAAAAUUUAAUCGUCCAAUAUGAGCAAAAUUUACACGAGCACGGAGGAUUUGAUCAUAUUCAAGUAUGCAAAUUAAGAACUCGGUGUAUAAGAGGAUGAAGUCCCGAAAUGAUUUAAGACGGUAAAAAGUGACAUCGAUGAUUGGAAAUAAUAUUUUAUGUGUGGCAAAAGAGGCCAUGAACUAGUGACAUAUCAUAGGAGCAUAAAAUGUGUAUAUAAGGUGUGCUAAAAAAAUCAUUACUAUUUAAGUGAACUGAGAGCAAGAGACUAGUUAUGUGGAUAAAUUAAAAGUGGCCGAAGGUAGCGUGAAACAAAAAUGAUUAGUCAAAAUAUUUGCAUGAUGCUAAGAGGACAACAUUUAUAUGCGGGUCCCACAAAGGGAUAAUCAUUAUAGAUAAUAUUGGACAAGGACAUAUGUUUGGUCCAAGGGCAGUACGUGCUUCAUUCUUAUACAAUUACAGGAAGUUGCAUAAUUCACCAAAUGCUACGUUAAAUAAUAGUAAUGAGUGUCAUGUGUCCUUGUCAUGUGAAUUAGACAAAAGUGGCAUGAAGCGUUAUGGGUGAGUCAUAAAGCACAUAAAGUGCAUGGGGAUACGUUUAAGGCCAAGGAAGUGAAUGCCUUUUUGCAUUUACAAUGGCUGCACAUUACUUUCUACUUGGAGAAUUCCCAUUUUUACAUUGCUUUCAUUUUUGCUUCUUAAGAAACGUACCAGCACCCCUAAAUUAAAACAUUCUCUCUUAGCUAAUCAUUUUGUUUCUUAAGAAAAUUAGCAUUAACCAUGGCUGCCAAGCUCACGGCCAUGGCAGUCCACAAUAAGGCUCAAUAUUUUGAUAGCAAAAUAAAAUAAAAUAAAUAAAUAAAUAAUCUCCGUGGUGUUCUAAGUGUUUGAGGGAGCAGCAAGAUCAGAAGUUAAAGUUGAAGAAGAUGAAAUGGGCAAAUUGUGCAAGUUAUUGGAAGAUCUGUCCUAAUUAUAUUUGAGGUAGACAGGGAGGUGAGCUUGAUCCAGAUUCUUAGUAGCUGUCAGCUGAUUGAGAGCACUCCAUUGUUCGGAGGUGCUUAUGUUUAUUCUUUUGGCUCCUUUAUGUAUUUCGCGCACAACGGAGUCUUGUUCCGUCUAUAUGUAUAAUAUGUCAGUAGAGGCUCGUAGAUGCGCAGUGUGGGUUAGAUGGUCUCACAAGAUUACUAUGUUAUAUUUGUAUAAGUUAUUUUGAUGGCCUAAGGGGCACAUGUAUAAUAAAAUCAUUUGUGUUGUCAAAUGAAAAAUGGUUGUCUUAUGAUUAUGAGAUUAUGAAUGAUAAAGAAAUGUAAAAUGGUUAUGACGAGUGAGGAAACGAGCGGUGCUCGGUGGUUAGUCCCGGGUACCCAUCGCGGCCCUAGUCGGGUCGUGACAGAAGUGGUAUCAGAGCAGUUCAGUCCUACGAAGUGUCUACGAGCCGUGUCUAGUAGAGUCUUGUUUAUCGGUGUGUUGUGCACCACAUCUAUAAACAGGAAACUACAGGACAUUUAGGAUGUUACCUUUCUUUCAUUUUUAAGAUCGUGCGAUAGAGCCCAGCCAUAGGAAAUGACAUUCCUUAUACUAACCCUUGAUUUCAGCUGAAGAACGGCAUCGUCAGACGAAAAUGACUAAUGAUAUUGGAAGCUACAAAGUACACAUGUAAGCAACGGUGCGAAAGAUGCAUGUCGGAUAAGGUAAGAAUACUGAAGCAUGAUUAAAAUGUAAAGUUGGCGGAUGAAAGAGAAAAUAAAUAGGAAGGAAUAACGGGUACAGUUUGAGUUGGACGUGCGAGGUUAUUCCUCAAGUUUAUAAAUGUGUUAAAAGUGGUUCAUAUUUAAGUAAAUCAUGAUCAAGAAAAUAAGUACAUGAUUAACUGGUUAAAGACAUUGAACUAAAAUGGAGGGAGAGGAAUUUAUUUGUUAUAUUAUUAGGUGAGGAUUAAAGUAGUUUAAGUAUUGUACUAUGGAUAAAUUUUGAUGUGGCAACACUCUAUAUACUUGGAAGCAUGGCAAAUAAAUUAAUAGUGACUCAAGACAUUCGUACAAAUGCCCACAAAGUUUUAUCUUUGGAUGCCAUUUCAGUGGUGGACCCCACGGCUAUGAUGGUGAAUAAUUUAAAUGUUCCUCAAUUGAUAUAUCAUUAUCUGUGUAAUUGAGUAAAUUGGGGAUCAUGAUAGAAGUAAAUAAAUCAAUUGAAAUGGCUGGAUAAUUUUUUUUGAAUGAAUGGGCAUAUGUCCGUGUGACUCAUGGCUAGGUGGCAGAAGGUUGAGGUGUGUUUGUGUUUAUAUAACUGAUGGCAGCCUUAAGUGAUUAUAAUUUAAGAGAUUGUGGACAGGAAAUUAUUUAAUAAUUGUAGUGGGAAACAAGUCUAUUAGUUAAAGAAUAAAGUGACAAGUGCCAUAAUCAACAUGACUACGUGUCUCCAUAAAUGUGAUUAAAUAUUUAAGUUAAAAAAAAAAAUAUAUGUGUAUAAUUGACUAAAUGAGGAAUAUGGUGGAGGAAUGAAUUAAUUUGUUAGUAAUGGAUAAGUGUAAAUGUAACACUUCCAGGUGGUACCAUUUUAAGGUAUUAGUGACUAAGCAAUUAAUUCAUUAGUGGUGACAUUUGAUAAACAAUUUUCUGAAGUGGUAUAAAGUUAUACGGGCCCCAAGGUCAACUAAGGGAACAAGUAAUUAAUUACAUGAGAUAAAGUGAAGCAGUUACAAUUAGCAUAAAGGGGACAGGUGUGAUAUUUUACAUGCUACGUGUGGGCAUGUCAAGCAAGCAAUAUAUGACUAAGACUAUUUGGUAGAAUUGGUGGCUGAUUCAAUUGAGAUAAUAAAGUCUAAUAAUAUCAAUAGGUUGGUUAAGUGGAUGGGCACCACUGGAAAGUAAACGUUGGACCCUUCACCAUUUUAUAUAAGUUUUAUAUAGGAAAAAUUCAUACAUAUGUAUGUAGCAGAUUGCAUUUUCGAAAUAUUACGAGAAUGGUUACUUAGAGAUCUGAAAUGCAUCAUAAUAAAUUGAAGGGAGUCGACCAACGAAAGAGGCAUGUGAAGAACAUAAUCCAGUAAAAGAACAUUUAAGGAAGUAUUGGGAGCGCAGGGCUAAUUUAACAUUCGAGGACGAAUGUUCUAAAGGGGGGAAGGAUGUUACAUCCCGUAUUUUCAUGUGUUGGAAAGGGUGCGAGUUAAAUGAUAUUAGUAACGAAAAUGAGGUUAUCCUCCCAAGUUUGUGGGUGGUUGUAGUAAUGAUACAGAUGUGUUAUAAAUAUUUGAAGUUAAACAAAUCUAAGAAAAUAAGUUUUGUCGAGGUUCGAAAUUUAUUUGAUGAAAUACGGUCCAAGCUAUAAUAUCCCGUAUUUUUGGACUAGAAAAAUUUAAUCGUCCAAUAUGAGCAAAAUUUACACGAGCACGGAGGAUUUGAUCAUAUUCAAGUAUGCAAAUUAAGAACUCGGUGUAUAAGAGGAUGAAGUCCCGAAAUGAUUUAAGACGGUAAAAAGUGACAUCGAUGAUUGGAAAUAAUAUUUUAUGUGUGGCAAAAGAGGCCAUGAACUAGUGACAUAUCAUAGGAGCAUAAAAUGUGUAUAUAAGGUGUGCUAAAAAAAUCAUUACUAUUUAAGUGAACUGAGAGCAAGAGACUAGUUAUGUGGAUAAAUUAAAAGUGGCCGAAGGUAGCGUGAAACAAAAAUGAUUAGUCAAAAUAUUUGCAUGAUGCUAAGAGGACAACAUUUAUAUGCGGGUCCCACAAAGGGAUAAUCAUUAUAGAUAAUAUUGGACAAGGACAUAUGUUUGGUCCAAGGGCAGUACGUGUUUCAUUCUUAUACAAUUACAGGAAGUUGCAUAAUUCACCAAAUGCUAAGUUAAAUAAUAGUAAUGAGUGUCAUGUGUCCUUGUCAUGUGAAUUAGACAAAAGUGGCAUGAAGCGUUAUGGGUGAGUCAUAAAGCACAUAAAGUGCAUGGGGAUACGUUUAAGGCCAAGGAAGUGAAUGCCUUUUUGCAUUUACAAUGGCUGCACAUUACUUUCUACUUGGAGAAUUCCCAUUUUUACAUUGCUUUCAUUUUUGCUUCUUAAGAAACGUACCAGCACCCCUAAAUUAAACCAUUCUCUCUUAGCUAAUCAUUUUGUUUCUUAAGAAAAUUAGCAUUAACCAUGGCUGCCAAGCUCACGGCCAUGGCAGUCCACAAUAAGGCUCAAUAUUUUGAUAGCAAAAUGAAAUAAAAUAAAUAAAUAAAUAAUCUCCGAGGUGUUCUAAGUGUUUGAGGGAGCAGCAAGAUCAGAAGUUAAAGUUGAAGAAGAUGAAAUGGGCAAAUUGUGCAAGUUAUUGGAAGAUCUGUCCUAAUUAUAUUUGAGACCUGCGAGCUCGAGAAGUAGACGUUGGACAUUAGAUAGAGUUCAAGGUAUGUGAGGCUAGUCCUUUCUUUCUAUGGCAUGAAUCUUAUAGCUUGACUCUCUUUUUAUCCAUGAGUUUCCUUAAGUUCCGAAAAAUACGAGUCUAUGUCCAUAAUUAGACACACAAGGUAAUGAGUAAAGUAUAGAAAUCCCAAUACUCAUGUUGUGAUGAUCCUAUGAUGUUAAUGAUGUUAUUUAUUGCUUACACUCACCUUAUAUGCUAAUUCCUUCAAGGUGAGGCAGGAUGCCAAUGAAUGUUCCAUAAUGACGUCGGAAGCCACCGACUUUACGUCACUCCGAUAUAGUUAUGGCUUUUGAUUGGACUCUUAUGCAUGCUUUAUAUAUAUACGUAUGUAUUUUCUCACACCGCGCCGCGCUAUAGUCGGUCGGGCAGGCACGUAGAUGUGCACACCACUAUAGUGGGCAGCUUAUACCCCGGACGCGGGAGGCCUGGAUGCAGGCUAUGAUUAUCACACCGCUCCUACCUGGACGGGCAGCUUAUACAUUAUCACACCGUACCUAUAUGGACGGGCAGCGUAUAUGUGUAUACAUACAUGGUAAUGAUUAUGAGUAAGUGAGCAUGCAUUAUUUCAGUUAUUUUUGAUAGCCAGUACAGAUUGCCCUUUCUUGAUGCCUCCUUUAUCUCAUUGAUGCCUUCAUAUUUCAUUGAUAUAUUGCUAUUGUUUAUGCCUCUCAUACUCAGUACAAUAUUCGUACUGACGUCCGUUUUCUUCGGACGCUGUGUUCAUGCCCACAGGUAGACAGGGAGGUGAGCUUGAUCCAGAUUCUUAGUAGCUGUCAGCUGAUUGAGAGCACUCCAUUGUUCGGAGGUGCUUAUGUUUAUUCUUUUGGCUCCUUUAUGUAUUUCGCGCACGACGGAGUCUUGUUCCGUCUAUAUGUAUAAUAUGUCAGUAGAGGCUCGUAGAUGCGCAGUGUGGGUUAGAUGGUCUCACAAGAUUACUAUGUUAUAUUUGUAUAUGUUAUUUUGAUGGCCUAAGGGGCACAUGUAUAAUAAAAUCAUUUGUGUUGUCAAAUGAAAAAUGGUUGUCUUA